AUUGAACGCUGGCGGCAGGCUUAACACAUGCAAGUCGAGCGGAGAGAGGUAGCUUGCUACUGAUCUUAGCGGCGGACGGGUGAGUAAUGCUUAGGAAUCUGCCUAUUAGUGGGGGACAACAUUUCGAAAGGAAUGCUAAUACCGCAUACGUCCUACGGGAGAAAGCAGGGGAUCUUCGGACCUUGCGCUAAUACAUGAGCCUAAGUCGGAGUAGCUAGUUGGUGGGGUAAAGACCUACCAAGGCGACGAUCUGUAGCGGGUCUGAGAGGAUGAUCCGCCACACUGGUACUGAGACACCGCCCAGACUCCUACGGGCGGCAGCAGUGGGGAAUAUUGGACAAUGGGCGGAGGCCUGAUCCAGCCAUGCCGCGUGUGUGAAGAAGGCCUUAUGGUUGUAAAGCACUUUAAGCGAGGAGGAGGCUACUUUAGUUAAUACCUAGGGAUAGUGGACGUUACUCGCAGAAUAAGCACCGGCUAACUCUGUGCCAGCCGCCGCCGUAA
rnacentral:rRNA from 1 species